CCCCUCUGGGUAUCAGGACUGCUCAUAACUGAUGGAGAGCUGCAAGCCGGCCAGCUGAAUCCAUUUGGACAGGCUCUGCUCCUUCGUACAAUUCCUGGUUUCACUACUCUCUUCUGCCUGAAAAUAAGCAGGGAGCCCAUAGGCUUCUUGCAAGAAUAGAGUAUGAACGGAGAUGGGCUUGCUGUGGAUUAGCAAAUACCGCCCAUUUGGAAGGCUUUGUCUUUUCUAAGUUUUGGUUCUUUAACCACCGGAGCUGAGAGCUGCGGAGGUUUCCUGAUCCUCUGGAGACCGCUCUUACAGAACUGAAUUCUUUCAAAGGGAUUUGUGGAUUGUGGCAAGAAGAGCUUCCAAAAUGCCUGAGGCAAACUAUUUGUUAUCUCUAUCUUGGGGUUAUAUCAAGUUCAAAAGGAUGCUGAACCGGGAGCUGACACACCUCUCAGAGAUGAGCAGAUCAGGGAACCAAGUGUCUGAAUACAUUUCGAACACGUUCUUAGGUAAGAUGUUUAAAAACAAGGGAAAACUCACUGAGCUUUUGCAGGGUAAAUUUUUACAGUCUACCAAGGGCAUCCCUGUGAAUUUGAAGUGAGGUUAAGCACAGG
rnacentral:lncRNA from 1 species